rnacentral:lncRNA from 1 species
GCACUUUAACUUAACAACAUUCCUCAAACAUGAACAGUCUCUUUCAUUUCUUUUUCUUCUUCUUUCUCCUCUUCACUUCUCAAAUUGUAUUACUUCACGCCAUCAGCCGGCCACCGCCGGCAGGAUUUUCCGGUCCGUCAACGGCGAGAAAACAUCAAGUUUUUCAACCUCAGGCGAGUGCUCCGUUUGCUAGAGACUUAGAAUCUGAUAAGAGGAGAGUUCCCACUGGACCAAAUCCUCUACACAACAAGAAAAGAAAGGUUUAAAUUCUGCAUUUAGAGCUCCUCUUGUUAUUCGUCAAAGGUAUAGUAAUUUAAUUUUCAUUCAUUAGUUUGUCUUUUGGUUGUAGAGUUUUCCUCUGUAUUAUAUUGGCGAUUCAAUAUUCGUAUUCACCAAUUUCAAUUUUGUACAAAUUAUGGUAUAGAUAGCUUAGUUUAAUUACACAUGUACUUUUUUUUAAUUCCAUAACUUUUAAUUUUUUUGCAGUUAGGUUAUUUUAGGUUUUUAGCCUUUCCUAGCUGGGUGAUUAUGCUUAUGUAGAUUUUGCGAGAAAGGAAUAUGUGGUGUUUUGUUACCAUUAAUAAUUUAGUCCUGCAAAAAAUUGUUUAAGUUGAUAAUUCUAUCAUUACAUAUAUUUUUUUUCCUUUUCUUUUCUUGUACUAGUAUGUAAUUACUCCUUUGUAAGAAUGGUGCUUUUAAACCAAGUUAGCUAGCCUCGGAAUUGAAUGAACAAUAAUAAUUAAUAAGAGAAAAUAAAAUAACAAUGGACUCUUUCUCUCUCUCGUAAAUACUUAUGAAGAU